rnacentral:rRNA from 1 species
AGAACGAACGCUGGCGGCAUGCCUAAUACAUGCAAGUCGAACGAACACUCUGACUUCGGUUGGGGUGUUAGUGGCGCACGGGUGCGUAACGCGUGGGAAUCUGCCCUUGGGUUCGGAAUAACAGUUGGAAACGACUGCUAAUACCGGAUGAUAUCGAAAGAUCAAAGAUUUAUCGCCCAGGGAUGAGCCCGCGUAGGAUUAGCUAGUUGGUGGGGUAAAGCUCACCAAGGCGACGAUCCUUAGCUGGUCUGAGAGGAUGAUCAGCCACACUGGGACUGAGACACGGCCCAGACUCCUACGGGAGCAGCAGUAGGAAUAUGGACAAUGGGCGCAAGCCUGAUCCAGCAAUGCCGCGUGAGUGA